rfam:Coriobacteriaceae bacterium CHKCI002 isolate CHKC2 genome assembly, contig: {contig23}
GGGGGCGACUGGUUUCGACAUGGUAGGUUUGAAAUGAGGAGCAGGUCGUGGUCUCCUCGCCACGUUAAACAGGGGUACCGUCAAGUUAAUUGGCAAAGCUAAGACUCAGAGCGCUCCGGCGCUCGCCAUGGCUGCUUAAUCGCGCCUGGCUGUCGUCCGCGGGACGCCUCCGACUCGCGGUUCGGCAUCAACCGAGGGGGCUGCGCUCGGGCACGUAGCCGGUAUGGCCCGGGCAAAGAUCGAACUGGCUAGGAAGCGCAACGCUCGUCGGCGAGCCGCGCGCCUCCGAAAGCCGACCGCCGACUAAGCUUGUAGAGCCUCAUGGACGAUCUAGUAUGGACCGGAGUUCGAUUCUCCGCGCCUCCACCA